GACGAACGCGGCGGCGUGCCUAAUACAUGCAAGUCGAACGCUUCUUUCCUCCCGAGUGCUUGCACUCAAUUGGAAAGAGGAGUGGCGGACGGGUGAGUAACACGUGGGUAACCUACCCAUCAGAGGGGGAUAACACUUGGAAACAGGUGCUAAUACCGCAUAACAGUUUAUGCCGCAUGGCAUAAGAGUGAAAGGCGCUUUCGGGUGUCGCUGAUGGAUGGACCCGCGGUGCAUUAGCUAGUUGGUGAGGUAACGGCUCACCAAGGCCACGAUGCAUAGCCGACCUGAGAGGGUGAUCGGCCACACUGGGACUGAGACACGGCCCAGACUCCUACGGGAGGCAGCAGUAGGGAAUCUUCGGCAAUGGACGAAAGUCUGACCGAGCAACGCCGCGUGAGUGAAGAAGGUUUUCGGAUCGUAAAACUCUGUUGUUAGAGAAGAACAAGGACGUUAGUAACUGAACGUCCCCUGAC
rnacentral:rRNA from 1 species